CCUACGGGAGGCAGCAGUGGGGGAUAUUGCACAAUGGGGGAAACCCUGAUGCAGCGACGCCGCGUGGGCGAAGAAGUAUUUCGGUAUGUAAAGCCCUAUCAGCGGGGAAGAAGAAUUGACGGUACCUGAGUAAGAAGCACCGGCUAAAUACGUGCCAGCAGCCGCGGUAAUACGUAUGGUGCAAGCGUUAUCCGGAUUUACUGGGUGUAAAGGGAGCGCAGGCGGCACGGCAAGCCUGAUGUGAAAGCCCGCGGCGCAACCGCGGGACUGCAUUGGGAACUACCGGGCUGGAGUGCCGGAGAGGUAGGCGGAAUUCCUGGUGUAGCGGUGAAAUGCGUAGAUAUUAGGAGGAACACCAGUGGCGAAGGCGGCUUACUGGACUGUAACUGACGUUGAGGCUCGAAAGCGUGGGGAGCAAACAGGAUUAGAUACCCCAGUAGUC
rnacentral:rRNA from 1 species